rnacentral:tRNA from 1 species
GCGGGCGUGGCGGAAUUGGUAGACGCAACGGACUUAAAAUCCGUUGGGCCUUGUGCCCGUGGGGGUUCGAGUCCCCCCGCCCGCACCA